rnacentral:rRNA from 1 species
AUUGAACGCUGGCGGCAGGCCUAACACAUGCAAGUCGAACGGUAGCACAGAGAGCUUGCUCUCGGGUGACGAGUGGCGGACGGGUGAGUAAUGUCUGGGAAACUGCCCGAUGGAGGGGGAUAACUACUGGAAACGGUAGCUAUUACCGCAUAACGUCUUCGGACCAAAGUGGGGGACCUUCGGGCCUCACACCAUCGGAUGUGCCCAGAUGGGAUUAGCUAGUAGGUGGGGUAAUGGCUCACCUAGGCGACGAUCCCUAGCUGGUCUGAGAGGAUGACCAGCCACACUGGAACUGAGACACGGUCCAGACUCCUACGGGAGGCAGCAGUGGGGAAUAUUACACAAUGGGCGCAAGCCUGAUGCAGCCAUGCCGCGUGUAUGAAGAAGGCCUUCGGGUUGUAAAGUACUUUCAGCGGGGAGGAAGGCGUUAAGGUUAAUAACCUUGGCGAUUGACGUUACCCGCAGAAGAAGCACCGGCUAACUCCGUGCCAGCAGCCGCGGUAA